rnacentral:rRNA from 1 species
UACGUAGGGUGCAAGCGUUGGUCCGGAAUUAUUGGGCGUAAAGAGCUCGUAGGCGGUUUGUUGCGUCGGCUGUGGAAAUCCCGAGGCUCAACCUCGGGUCUGCAGUCGAUACGAGCAAACUAGAGUGUUGCAGGGGAGACUGGAAUUCCUGGUGUAGCGGUGAAAUGCGCAGAUAUCAGGAGGAACACCUGCGGUGUAGACGGCUUACUGGACCAUAAACUGACGCUGGAGGCAACGAAAGCGUGGGUAGCAAACAG